ACGGCUUUGCCCUCUAGAUAUUAGCAAAAGAGAAGAUUUCAAAGAUAACACCACUUCCCUCGUUCCCUCACUCCUGUAUAUUUGCUUGCUUGCUUCCAUCAUGAUGUUAUGAUGGUGAUCCAGCAGAUGACCAUUGAUGGAUCACCCAAUACGUCUCCAAAGAAAGUUAAAGAUAACCUUUCUCUCUCCCCCUCUCACAAGUUUUCACCUCCCCAAUGAGUGCAAUGACCAAAAGCAAAAGAGUAUCAAGCUUAGUGGGGGGUGGAGGCACGGGGCAAAAUCAUUAGGCCUCCAUCGACGAGCGACAUAGCGAACAUACGCCAGUCACUGUGCAGAAAAACAUUCCAGGUCUAUGUUCUCUUUUCUCAACGGGGAAAAACUAUCAUGCUGGUGCACUGAGAAAAGGUCUGCCGUGUCCAUGAUAAACGGGAAGGUUGCUGAGAGAGGCCAAAUCUGCACUCCUGGCGGCCUCGGCACAAAACAGGUGCACUUCUUUGGUCUGCUCUUGCUAUGCCCCGUCGCGGAGUUUCGGUGGUAACGGCGAGGCGAGAAGUAGAGAUCAUAGUGCAAAGAAGUCGUCUCCCGUAGCGCAGAGAGAUGGGGUGGCGGAAGAGCUACGGGGUAACGAAAUCGGAGGUCGAGUGAAGCGCCAUGGUGGGCCUUGUCAUGGUCAUGGUGGAGUCCCUAUUCAUAAGAGCAGCCUCAAGAAAGCCACUGAACCGAAUGAACAUCGGCGAAGGUCAGAGUGCAGGAAAGUCAAUUGGCCCGAUGCUCACGGGAAGGACAUUGCGGAUGUGCAUGAAUUCGAGCCGAGUGUUUCGGAAGAUGGAGAAAUUGGAGGGGUUAGGAAUUCCUGUGUUUGUUCAGUUCAAUGAAACAGCACGUGCCAAGGUACAAAUGUCCAGCUUGUGAGUACCUGAUUUUCUCAAGUACUUUAUGACCCCAAAUGCUGUCUUCUACUCAAAUUCCCACCGGUCAAUGGGGAAAUCAUCAGUACAUGGUAGCAUUUGAGAUGAAAAGUCACUCUCAAAACAUCUCUCCUGAUUCAACUCACCAAGAUAACUGGAAAUUCGAAUGAAGAAUUAGUGCGGGGUUCUGUCUAUCGUUGCAUGCACUGAUCCAGGCUUAGCGAAGACAAUAUAACAUAUGAAACAUUCUUGGUGAUUGUCUUUGAACUGUUAGCUCAGCUGAUAUAUUUAGCCAAUUCUUUCAGUAUUUGUAUUUAAGUAGAUUCUGUCCCUUGUCUGUGUUAGCCGAAAUUGAAAUGUAACGGGUGAAACCACAAGAUCUUGCAGCUUCUAAUGUGUUAGACAUGACUGUUGCUGAGCAG